CACGUCCCGCCACCAUUGGAGAUUCCCCGAUCCAAAAGAGCCAUGAAACCCCUCAGGUUUCUAGUUUAGGCCAUGGAAAAGAAGGGGGGACGAGUAUUCGGAGGGCGAAAUAUGAGCUUUCUCACUUGAACUUAGUGAGAGAGAGGUUUGUUUCAGAGAAAUGAAAAUGAAAAGGGGGAAAGGAAAUAGUUUUUUUGGUUUUUUU
rnacentral:lncRNA from 1 species